UACGUAGGUGGCGAGCGUUGUCCGGAUUUACUGGGCGUAAAGGGCGCGUAGGCGGUAGCACAAGUCAGUUGUGGAAUCUCCGGGCUUAACUCGGAAAGGUCAACUGAUACUGUGCGACUAGAGUGCAGAAGGGGCAACUGGAAUUCUCGGUGUAGCGGUGAAAUGCGUAGAUAUCGAGAGGAACACCUGCGGCGAAGGCGGGUUGCUGGGCUGACACUGACGCUGAGGCGCGAAAGCCAGGGGAGCGAACGGG
rnacentral:rRNA from 1 species